UUCAUGAUUUGUGAUUUUGGAAAAUUAAAUUGUCGGUAUAGUUAACUGUGUAUCCUAGCAAAUAAUGUGUAAUAUCUUGGAUAUGGUCUUAAAAUGCUCUGUCUCAAAUACAUGUACCUGUAACAAACUAGAAAUAAUAGAUAUCUGCCGACGAGAAAUGUCUUGGGAUAAGUAUAGUAAUACUGAUGCGAAGGAAAUUCAAUUUCAAUUGGAUUGUGUGAUAGUAAGGUCGAAAAAAUAUUAUUAUUUGUAGUGUACGAGAUACAGUCUGUGUAAAUCUUAGAACAAACGUCGACAGUCGGUAGCAUAGUUUUGAUGGGGUGAAGAAACCAUAAAGGUAAAUUGUUUUUUUUUUUUCGUGAACCAUCUCUUGUCGCGAAAAAGUUUGUUUUGCUGUCAGAACAAUACGGUCGGAAAAUGUUGAUUAUACAAAGUGGUUCAAUCACUAUCUGUGACUCUUGUACGAACUAUAGUGUGAAAUUAGUCAAAAUAUGACUGAUAGUGUGCUGAAGUUUCGACGAUUAUGCAUAAUUUAUUUUUUUUCUAUAUUACAUCCACUGUACUAUGUUUUUGUUACAGAUUAUACCAUACUCAUUCAAUUUAAAACUAAUUUAGAGCUGACUGUUUCUGGAACUCGAGGGUUUGUACAGUCUAUACGCGACGACGAGGCCUGUUAAUUAAAACUAUAGACGCCACAACAGUACUCCGGACCUAAGAUAGUUAAUGCAUCGCAGCCGUGGAUCGACAGGAGGUAGGCAUGACGAGAAAACACUUCCAGCACAACAAACCGACGGGGAUGGAACAGAUGUUUUGAAACCGGGUCGUAACUACUUGGGCGUUACACGGAAAUUAUGAGUAAAAAAAUUCCGAGAACAAAACUAUUUGUACGGGAAAAUGGUACAUUGUACGAUACAACCGUCAAAACAGCCCUAAACGGACGGACCGGCCGGCCAGGAGAUUUCAAUAUUUCCAUUCGGAAUAAUUUAUAACAGUUUGGGUGUUGUGUGGCAUUACGCAUAUGUUUUACUUGGUAUCCAUUGCGGACGGCUUAAUACUAUCAGCGUCGAUCGUAACGACGGAGUUGCUAUGUCGGUCGUUAAGUAACCAUCCCCGUAUAAAUCUAAAACACCCAACAUUAUGAGUCAUAUAAAUAUAACCCACGAGCAUAUAAACGUGUCGUGUAAUCAUCGACUGUGCGGCUGUACGCGAGAUAACCCUAAAACAAAACCGGAUUUCCUUAGGUUUUCAUACACGUACUAUUUGGGUUAUAUAUUAUUGUUGAUGUGCGCCCUCACAUAAGACUGCAGUGAUGUCGAGGGUGAAAACAAUAUCAUAAUUUCGAACAGGUCGUUGUUAUCUUAUUCUGUAAACUUUAUUCUUUCUUUUUCACGUUAAGGUUUUUUACGUCUUCUCGAAAAUUAUGAUAAUCUUCAGUGAUACAUUUUUAUGCUAACAAUAUUUACUCGCGUAAGACACAGUAAUAAAAAUGAAUUGUCUCCCACGAUAAAACAAACAAACCCCAUUUGCAUUAUUAAAAUCAAAAUCCGAUACGAGUGCAGAGAAAUCCCACUCGUAUUUCUAUUUUGUUGAAUUUGUCAUUGAAUUUUGUGUAUUUUUAUUGUGACAGUCAAGUGAGUUAAGUUUUUCAGGUUUAAUUAUGUUAUGUUAAAAUGAAUAGCAAUUGAUGUAAUCGGCAUUCGUGAAAUUAAGUCAAUUUUAAAGUAAACGUGCUGAGAACACACCGAAAAAAAUAAAUAUAAAAUUUAUGCUUUUGAUAAACGAUUUAUUGUCGCGUUGCUUAUUACAAAUAGUAAGUUAUCUGUUUAUUCUUUGAAUAAUAAUUACCACGGAUGUAAAAAAAAAAGUAUGUAUAAUUAUUGGAGAAUAAAAUAUUUACGAUUGAGUAAGUUAUAUACUUAGUAAAACAAAAAACACCAGACGAAAAUACUUUUCUGUGUAUUCCAAGUAAGGUUCAUGAACUUAGAAUUCUCAGACGGUUUGUAUAAAAACUUGUUUUACAUAAUAUAUUUGUUUUGGCUUAGGUAUUAUUACUACACAUAAAUACUUUUUUUUCUUAUGAAUGUGCAUUCUAUUUUAGAUGCACGUCUCUUGUAAAUGUAUUCGUUUUGCAAUGAGAUUACAAAAGGAUUCUAUUGCGGUAUUGGACUUGAAGGUCGAAGAUUUGCAUUAAUUCUUCUUCAAUUUUCCCUCGUUAAAAUUAAUUCUACGCCCGAGGAAAUAUGAUUUACAAAUCAGUAAAUAUCAAUGACUUAAAGUACAGCUAUACCGAGAUUGAGUUGGUGGUGUCAAUAGUGUACUACAAUGAACAAUAGUGUGACGACAGAUAUUGAAAUUUGAUCUCACGAUGGAUUGUUUCAAAUAUUCGAAUCAAUACUUAGUGAUGAUGAAUCGAUAGUAAAUGAUGAUGAUUUUCCAGAUAAUGAAGAAUAUUUUGUUGUUUAAGAUGAUUGAAAUUCCCAUUCAGAAGUUUCUAUUCAUUAUAUGUAUGAAAAUGUAAUUGUCAUAAAUGUUCCUAGUGAUCUGACAACUUGUAAUGAACAAAAUAAUAAGAAUGUUGAUGGUGAUAAUUUACAAUUUUUACAUACUAAUGAGGAUAUAGCUAUGUAAAGUAAUUAUACGAGAGUAAUGUUCAACAAAUCAUAUAUGACCCAGAUAAUGUUCCAUUAGCUGACAGACUGCAGAAUAUAAAUGGCAUAUGGGAAGAACAUGGUUUGAUGCCUGAUCACCUGCCUUUUCAAGGAAAAGGUGGCCCUAAUUUACCACUGGGAACUGAAGAUCCUUUGAUUUUUUUUAAGUAUCUUUUUAAUGAUGAAUUGGUUGAUGGCCUAGUUUUUAAUACUGAUUUUUAUGCUCAUCAAAAACAAAAGCCAUUUGAACCUGUGACUUCACAAUCCAUGCAAAUAUUUUUAGCAAUAAAUAUUCUAAUGCAACAAUUGCAGCACUAAGGCUAAUCCACAUAGGACAAAAUAGGAAUGUACCUCAUGCAAUGCCGGUUUGUGUUUAACUCCACACAAAAAUUGUUUCAAAAUAUAUCACAAUAAGUUAUAAUAUUAUAAUAACUUUCAAAUAUUUUAUAAUAAUUUUUAAUAAUAUGUUGUUAUGCAGAACCUACAUGGUGGUUUAAUAGUUAAACCACCACUUUUUCAAAAAACUGUAAUAAUAAAUUUUUUU